rnacentral:rRNA from 1 species
UACGUAGGGUGCGAGCGUUAAUCGGAAUUACUGGGCGUAAAGCGUGCGCAGGCGGUUUUGUAAGCCAGAUGUGAAAGCCCCGGGCUUAACCUGGGAAUGGCAUUUGGGACUGCAAGGCUUGAGUGCGGCAGAGGAGACUGGAAUUCCUGGUGUAGCAGUGAAAUGCGUAGAUAUCGGGAGGAAUACCGAUGGCGAAGGCAGGUCUCUGGGCUGACACUGACGCUCAUGCACGAAAGCGUGGGGAGCAAACAGG